rnacentral:rRNA from 1 species
GAUGAGCGCUAGCGGCAGGCCUAACACAUGCAAGUCGAGGGGUAGAGGAAGCUUGCUUCCUUGAGACCGGCGCACGGGUGCGUAACGCGUAUGCAAUCUACCUUAUACAGAGGGAUAGCCCAGAGAAAUUUGGAUUAAUACCUCAUAGUAUUAUGAAAUCGCAUGGUUUUAUAAUUAAAGUUCCAACGGUAUAAGAUGAGCAUGCGUCCCAUUAGUUAGUUGGUAAGGUAACGGCUUACCAAGACAAUGAUGGGUAGGGGUCCUGAGAGGGAGAUCGCCCACACUGGUACUGGGACACGGACCAGACUCCUACGGGCGGCAGCAGUGAGGAAUAUUGGUCAAUGGACGCAAGUCUGAACCAGCCAUGCCGCGUGCAGGAUGACGGUCCUAUGGAUUGUAAACUGCUUUUAUACAGGAAGAAACACUCCCUCGUGAGGGAACUUGACGGUACUGUAGGACUAAGGAUCGGCUAACUCCGUGCCAGCCGCCGCCGUAACAC